CUACUACCAAUUUGUAAGUCGCUCUGGAUAAGAGCAUCUGCUAAAUGACGUAAA
rfam:Salmo salar isolate Sally breed double haploid chromosome ssa02, whole genome shotgun sequence.